AGAAGAUGGCUUUGAUAGGGCAUGCAACCUAACACGAUAUAGAUCUCAAGAAGAUGCAGUAACAGCAGGCUGGAUUGGGUUAAAUGCAACCUGCUCGGCACAAGUUAACACUUUAUGAGGCCCUGCCUCGUCUCGACCGACACCCAUAAGGUCCAGGUAGUACUGGUAAUGUGAAACGAUGUUGUUCAUGGCAUCAAUGUCACCCUUGCCACAAACUGAUUCCCCAUAAAGAAUAUUCAUUGUAGUGCCAAAUCCAGGAAACCGCUUACUCAAGGUAUCGUUCUUGGUAGGCUUCCAGUCUCCAACAAAUGCUUGGUGGGCCGAGGGUUGUGACUUCUUGAUAGGGGUCAUCCACCUCCAUACUGCAGCUUGGAAAGCAAGAGUAGCGUUCUGCUCAAUGUAUUCUGGAUGGUUCAACAGAUCCACCUUCAAAGCAUCUCCAGCAGCACCGUAAUUGUAGUUCCUAGAUGGUAGAACCAAUGUUAAAUUAGUAACAUUGUCUAUUCAAAGAACUCAAACUACAACCUCACGUAUCUUCUAGAACUUCAGAUGUCACGAGAUUUGAGGAAAAAACAUAAAUGUGACAAUAGCUAGACUAUGGAACAAACUGACAGACAACAACAAAGGCUUAUCCCACUAAGCGGCGUCUGCUGUAUGAAGACAAAUAUGUCUGACGACUCUGACCGCAAACAACUCCAUCUAGUUUCCGCCACAAGUAAAUUACUAGCUUGCAGUAUGUAUCAUCUAAUUUGUGAACUUGCUAAGAUGGCAUUAUACGAGUAGACCAACGAAUUAAUCUCAUCUAACGAUAGCUCGCUCUACUUUACAACACAACUGACAUCAUCUUUGGUUAAUUUAUUUGGUAAACGAAAGCUCGGACAAAUGAAUAUUAUGAAAGGAAAUCGACAUAAACCAAUGAUAAAAUAGAUGGAAUACAAACCAGUAGAUAGGCAAAGCACCACGGCCAUAGUAUUCAGCCCCAUGACUGCAGGGAUAUAUGUACUUGUAAUAGUCAUCACAGUAUGACUGCAUGGGACUCAUUUCCCUGUUGUAGCAAAGCCCCCAAGCGUAUGGUCCUCCGGUGGCCACACCGUAACCGCCUGGAACAAUCAUCCCCAUCGCCGUCAACAACCAUAGGAACACCGGUAUACAUAUGUGAAGUACAGCAAAAGCUUACUGUAUUUUAUAAGGGUUAAAAAUCUUUUUCGUCACCGUAUUUAUGGUCACUGCGUUUUCAAUUUAGCCAAUUCGGUCACCGUGUUUUACAAAAUUUGCAAUCGUCGUCGCUUCUCGUAACUUUAUGUUAAAAAGAAUUAUUAAUUUUUUCAUUUUUUGACUUAAAACACAGUGACCAAAUUAGCGAAAAUCGAAAACACUGCGACCAAAUUGGCAAAAUUGAAAACACAGUGACAAAAAAUUGUAUGAAAUCCAAGUUUUUUCCUUCAAAAUCGACGUUGUUCAUAAAGCCAAUUCACUAAAACUCAACAAAUCUCAAUCAAACAUUACUAAUUAUAAAAACAAGAGCUACCCAAAAUAGCAAUUCUAUGCACAAACAAGAGUGGUGACUUACAGGAGGUUUUGCUGCGGACAUGUCCAAGAAAGGCGGUGAUCUCCUUCAUCUGCAUAAGCUUCCCACCGGUGGUCCUAAACCCAAGAGGCUCGAAAAGCGCUGCGGCGGUGAUAAACGCCUGGUAAUCCCAAAACCCAACGGCAUGCGCCACCGGUAUGUUUCUCUUGGAGAACAGAUUCUCAAACUGGUAAGUCUGGAAGUAAUCAGAGAUGGUGAGAUUGCAACAGUACUUUGACCACCCUUUACACUCCCACCCUUUGUCGCACAACUUCUUCCCCCUCACAAUCUUCACUUUCACGACGGUGGACGAGUAAUCGCCAUCGUUGCUGGCACAAAGACAACACUCAGCGCCACCACCGCCACCAAUGCAGCAGCAGAGAUCUUCAUGGUUGGAUGCGGAAGAACAAAUUUGAUUACAUGAUAUUCAACUUAGGAUCAUCUCUUUCGAAGAUGGUCUUAUAGAUUUUAAACUUAAAGCACUCUUUUCUUAAGCAUUUGAAGUGGAGCAAAAAAUAAUCACAAGGCAACACGUGGAUUUUUGGUAAAAAUAACAAAGUUACUCCUAAGACAUACAAGUUGUACUAAUCGCUAGCAGUGGACAAUCAUUCUUUACUCAAGCUAAGAGUGUCCAAAAAAGAUAACCAAUUCCAAAUUAUUUCAUUCAUCCUCAUCUUAGGUAAUUACUUCAUAACUUAUAAAUUAUUCCAUAUAAAUAGAGAUUAAUUGGCCAAUUAAUGGAUUAAAUUCUAAUUAAUCCAUUAAUCACUAAUUAAAUCUAAUUAAUCCAUUAAUCACCAAUUAAAUCAUCUAUUUUCACACAAAAAACCUCUAAGGGCUGGCCACCUCCAUUCCCUAUAUAUAUGACCUUAUUUUUUCUAAAAAAGGAGGUCCACACUCUUGCAAAACUCCCAUAAACUCUCCAAACACUUUUCUCUCUAAAUUCUAACUUUGGCAUCGGAGGUUCUUCGGUCAAAACCCCCAUUCAUCGUGGGCACGUGAGGCAUUUGGUCUUGACUAAAGGUGUUGAUUGUUUUGUAGAUGCAAUUUUGUCAAAGAAGGAGAAGGCGAAAAUUUGCAUCCACAAAUUGGUACUUUCAUUGAGAGCUGAGAUCUACACUCAUAGAAGACUCUUGGCCUUGACCAAAGGUGUUGAUUGUUUCGUACGUUCUUAUUAUUAGAAUUUUUUAUUUGCAAAGAUUCUUUGAUAAAAUGCAAAAGAGAAAUACAAUAGUUAGAAAUUUAGAAAUUCCACAAGUGAAAAUUCCAAUAUUCAAGAAAUGGAACCGCGGCGAUCCACGAGACUAAAUGUGAUCUUAGGGGGAGCGGCACCGCCACCACAAGGCUCAACCAUGGCAACCCCCGCGGUGGCCACCACGACAAUCACCCAUGGCGAGGUCCAUGGCUCCACCACCACGGCCCGAGCCAUGUCACUUCAUGCCCAACGCGAGCCCAAUGCAUUGCCAGGCCAAGCCCAGGCCUCGCAUUCACGAGUAUCACUUGUUGAGCAGCCUACUCUAUCGGCUUAACUUGCUCUCGUGGCCCAACCUGCUCUAGCGGCCCAACCUGUUCUAGCGGCCCAGCCUGCCCUCGCGGCCCAGCCUGCUCCCACAGCCCAACCUGCUCCCGCAGCUCUGCCUGUUCCAAUGAUUUCCCAAGCAGCCUAAGUAGGCUCAAGAAUAUCUCGACCAUCCUGAGCAACCAUCGAGCCAAGGGCAUUUUUACCAUAUUUCUCCACAGAUUUGACAUUUCCCAACUCAAAUCUCAUGCCUGAAGUCUACCAUACUUCCACUGCUCAAUUAGGUAUAUUCCUUCCAAGCUCUUCAAAUCUAAAUAGAGAACAACACUUGUCUCGACAAGUCAUAGAGUUGACGAGCGCCCUUGCACAACAGAUGACCUUGGUGAAUCAACUUUUGCAACGCACCGAGAUCCAACGUGCCCCGGACGAGGUAUCCCGAGGUAAGAUAAAGGCAGAUGAACCUUUCCAGUAGCGUCUCGGCAAGCAGCCACUCGACCAGCCACGAGCCGAGCAUUCGGGCAGUGUACAUUCCCGAUUAGGCUUCCAAGAUAACGUAUAUUCCCGUCUUAUAGCGUGGAGGAGCGUGCCCAAGGAUAAGUAUACAUUCACGGUUGGGGCCACACUCUGAUAAUCAACAUGAGUAACCUUACAGGCAAAGCAUUCAUUUGCGGCUAGGCCAGCAAUGAGUAUCAUGCACAUCACAUCGGAGCAAGUAGCACAUUGGACGGAAAGAAACAGUCACUCAAUCCGGCUUAAGUUCAAACAGCAGCCUGUGAGUUACACACUCGCCUGCUAGGAAGAUACCACACCUACCGACGAACAUAUAAAAGAGCAGCUUAGACCAGCACAUCAUGAUCGGGGGCAACCGAGAGCUCUGCCACCCCAACAAAGGAAAAUUCAAGAAGAAGUAAAAAGGCUUAUGACCAAGCGAUUACGCAAUUUCUCGCACCAACCAAGCCUCAAAAAGGCACAAGAUGAAACACCUAAUGAUGGCGCAAUAAUUCAGGGAGCAGCUCACUGCACUUACACCCUUAUGUGGGUUCCACAAGCAGUUCGAAGUCUCAAGUAGUUCACUAAACAAAACCUCGUAGCCUGAGGAUUAUUUCAGUUAUCCAGUAGUCCAGCUUUCCUCAGCUGCACUCACGACAACAACUUCUAUGCUCUCCAGUACGAUAGGAUAAACUAAUUGCUCUCCAGUGCGAGAGAGUAACCAAUUCCCCGACACCCAAAAAGGUCUGCUCUCCAGUGCGAGAGGAUAAACUAAUUGCUCUUUAGUGCGAGAGGGUAAACCAAUUCCCCGACACCCAUAUGGGUUUACUCUUCAGUGCGAGAGGAUAAACUAAUUGCUCUCCAGUGCGAAAGGGUAAACUAAUUGCUCUUAAGUGCGAGAGGGUAAACCAAUUCCUCGACACCCAUCUGGGUUUGCUCUCCAGUGCUAGAGGAUAAACUAAUUGCUCUUCAAUACGUUAAGGUAAACUAAAUCGCUGACACCCAUCUGGGUAAACUCUUCAGUGCGAGAAGGCCACAUAGUUCAAAAGAUCGAAUGCUUGAAGAUCAACGAAGCAAUAAAUGGUUAUGGGCAACAGCCACUUUUACACUUAAUAGUUCGCUCAUCUGACACUUCAUCUUGAGCAACUCUGAUCUUGGCAGUUUCAUCCUUGACUGCUCUAUCUAUGGCAGUUGAAAAUCAAAAUCAAGUAGUUUCCUCAUUUUCAGCAGACAGCCCAAACAAUUGCCUAUUCCACGCCACUUCCUCGGCCCAUGUCAAACCAAUCCUUGGCUUCAAUUAAGAUGAGCUGCUCAAGCAAUGUCCCUUGCCACAUCACAUCCUUGGCCCAUGCCAAUCCAACUCCUAGCCCUUAUCAACCGACGUGCCGCACAACCCCGACGAUUGCCCCGUGGCAGCACCACCCAAGAAAAAUACAAGAAGAAAUUAAGUUUUUAUUACAUUGGUGACGCAUGGAGAAGACGAAGAAAGCAACGAAAGACGGUCAUUUACACGGGCAAAAUGUAGAAGAUUGUUAGAGGAGAGGGAACAAAUAUCCUUUAAGCUCUCUCUCUCUUGUAGGGUAGAAUAAAUCACUCUCCAAAGUUGAUUUAAUAACCCAUUUAAGGUGGACUUAGAUAGGCUUUGAGAGAAAUUUAUUUCCCUUUCCUAGAAGGAUCUAAUUUCAUAUUAGAGAGGGAAUUUGCAUCAAAACAGGAAAUAAUCCUAAGUUUCCUAGAGCAAGAAGAUCUCUACAUCUGCUACCCUUUCCUACGAGCAGCCUAGUAGGUGUGGGGGCACUUGUGGAGCCAAAAAUAAUCACAAGGCGACACGUCGAUUUUUGGUAAAAAGGACAAAGUUACCCCUGAGACACACCGGUUGUCCUAUGCGCGAGCAGUGGACAAUCAUUUUUUAAUCAAGCCAAGAGUGUCCAAAAAAUGUAACCAAUUCCAAAUUAUCUCAUCCAUCCUCAUCUUAGGUAAUUACUUCAUAACCUACAAAUUAUUCCAUAUAAAUGGAGAUUAAUUGGCUAAUUAAUGGAUUAAAUCAUAAUUAAUCCAUUAAUCACCAAUUAAAUCACCCAUUUUCACACAAAAAACCUCUAAGAGCCGGCCACCUCCAUUCCCUAUAUACAUGACCCUAUUUUUUCUAAAAAAUGAGGUCCACACUCUUGCAAAACUCCCAAAAACUCUCCAAAUACUUCUCUCUAAAUUCUGACUUUUGUAUCGGAUGUUCUUCAGCCAAAGCCCCCCCAAUUCAUCGUGGGUGCGUGAGGCUCUUGGCCUUGACCAAAGAUGUUGAUUGUUUUGUAGGUGCAAUUUUGUCAAAGAAGGAGAAGGCAAAAAUUUGCAUCCACAUUUGACAUCCUUCGUUUUUCUAAAAAAAACUUAAUUUAAGAACGAAUAUCUUUUUUUUUUUUAGAAGAGAUCAUCCCCGGAUUUCUUUCACCAAGGCCACCGGAUCAAAUGAUCCAGGCCUUUCAAAUUUCAUCCAACGGCUAAAAAUUAUUACACCUUUUAAGAAGUCAAAACAGGUGGACCGUUGGAUGAAAUUUGAAAGGGCCGAAUCACUUGAUCCGGUGACCUUGGUGGAAGAGAUCCGGAGAUGAUCUCUUCUCUUUUUUUUAGAUCAAGGAGGGGGAUCUUUAAGAUUUCUGAACUCCACUUGAACAAUUAAUUAUACAUAAAUUCAAGGGCAAAAGACUGUUUACUACCCUCAUGUUUCAUGAUUUUCAACAUUUAGUAUAUCAAGUUUUUUUUGUCCCAGAGUCAUACCUAAAGUCUAAAUUUUGAGACAAUCUCAUACAUCCGUUAGUCAAACUGUUAAGUCUCUCAUUAACUGUGACGUGGCGCCUAUAUGGACAAUGACUGGGCACCACGUGUCAUCCACGUGGAAAUUAAAAAUAAAUUAUUUAUUAAAUAAAUAAAUAAAAUUAUAUAUAUAUAUAUUAAAAUUUUAAUAAAUAAUAAAUAAAUAAAUAAAAACCUUCAUUUUCCCCAGAUUCGGAAGAAGAAGAAGAAGAAGGAAGAAGGAGAAAAAGGGGGAAGAAGAAGAAAAAAAACGAAAUUUGCAACCAAGAUUCGAAGGAAGAAGGAAGAAGAAGGAGAAAAAAAAAUGCAGAUUCAGAGGAAGAAGAAGAAGAAGGAGAAGGAGAAGGAAUAAGAAGAAGAAAAAAAUCGAAAUCUGCAACCCAGAUUCGGAGGAGGAAGAAGAAGAAGAAGAAGAAGAAGGAAAAAAAACUGCAAAUUCGGAGGAAGAAGAAGAAGAAGAAGAAGAAGGAAGAAAAAAAAAAAAAACCGAAUCUACAACCCAGAUUCGAAGGAAGAAAAAAAAUGAUUUUGCAACCCAGGAGGAAGAAGAAAAAAAAAAAAAAAACCGAAUCUGCAACCCAGAUUCGGAGGAAGAAUGAAGAAAAAAAAACCUAGAGGAGUAAUUCUUAAAUGUAUAUUCACAUCCUUACCUAGCACGAGGCCUUUUGGAAGUUCACUAGCUUCGGGUUCCGUAGGAACUUUGAAGUUAAGCGAGAAGGAGGCCAUAGCACUCCUAGGAUGGGUAACCCAUUGGGAAGUUGCUCGUGAGUUCCAAAAAACAAAUCCGUGAGGGAAUGGUAAACCCAAAGCGGACAAUAUCGUGCUACGGUGGUGGAGCGGGCUUGGGAUGUGGUGGAACCCGGGUCGGGAUGUUACAAUUGUGACAGCCCGUCCUAAAUUUUGUGUUUUUAUUAAUUUUAGAAGUGUGAAUUUAUGAAAAUACCUUAGAGACAAGGACUUUGACUUUCGCGGAUCAUCGUUUAGAGUGACGUAUGACUUAUUCUUUUAGCAUAUCCUCGUAGUAUUUGUCACUACGAACGCAUAGGCGAAAGCUGUUUACGAGUCAAAAUUAUAACAGUAUAGUUACGGACGUUUGAAGUUUGUUAUUUAAAGGUAGUUAAAUUAUUUGAACUCCCACCUUGUGGGAAGACUAACCAAUCAGCCUUUAAGCAAAGAGAAAAGGGAACCAAUCACAUAAAAGGAGGACAAAGCCUCUAGCCAAUCAGAAAAAUGAGCUUUCCCGUGGGUUUUUCCGCUCACGACCACCCAUUUUCCAAGGCUGAUUCCGGCCAACUCCGGGGAAGUUUUUCGAAGCCACCACCACCAUCUUGAAGCUCUCAUUCCUCUCUACAGAACCCACCUAAGAACCACCUUGGUUAACCCUGUACGUGGCGGUUCGAGGCCACAAAAAUCGAUGAAAACCAAUGGUGUUCCGGCCACCCUUUUCAUUUUUCCGACGAAUCGGCAAAGCAAUAGCCGACACCACCACUUGGGCUUUCUAGCCCAUCAUCCCAGGAGAAAAUCACCACCAGCCUUAACCCCGUUGGAGCACCGAGGAAAAAGAAUCGAAGUUCACCCAAGUAUAGGGUUACCGACGGAUUUUAACAAAAUUGAAGCUCUUCCCGGCCUAUUUGGCCUGGGUCACAGUUUCCGACGACCUUCGCCACUUUCGAGGUGUUUCCCGGCCAAAUCACGAUGAGAUAGCCAUCAUGUAAGGUUGCCCAGAAAUUCCGACGAGUUACCAGUUUUCCCGCGGACAGCCGUCUUUCAGACCAUUUUCCGAUCACCUCCGGGCACCAGUUGGACUCCAAGCUGGCGCCGAUCGCUCGGGACGCCUCGAUGGUUAUGCUAGGAAGUUGUAGCAUGGACUCCAGGUGAAUGGAUCUUUCCUUGCUCAUCUUAUGUUUCAUGAUUGAUAAUUCUAUAAAUACUUUUAAAUAAAACUGAGAAACUUAUGCCAUGACAUAUAUAUUUAUAUGUUAUAAAAUACUAUGAGAUGGUUGAGUUAGAUUUCAUCGUGAUCUAUCCAUAUACGUAUUACUAUAAAUGAUUAUUGUGAACUACGAAUGGUUUGAUCCCUGCUUAUGGUACGUAGGCAGUCUAACGAGACGUUAGAUGCAGCCAUAUAAGAAAUGAGAUUAAAUAACCGAGACCAUAGCCUUGUUUAAGGAAUUGAGCAAUAUGUGUGGGUUUUUGGUUUUAAGUAUAUAUGUAUACACUUGAUAUUUUCCCAUAAAUAUGUUUAAAUGAGAUUAUGCAUUAAAUGCCAUGCAUAUAAGUUUAUAAUUUGUAUAUGAAUUGGCAUAUGAUGCAUUAUAUAUAAGUGUGUUGCUGUGAACUCUCUGAAGUGUAAGGGUGAACGUAGGACAUUCAGGUAAGUUCAGGUAAGUUUAAGUAAAUUCAAGUAGGUAUACGGUAUUAGCAUGAUUGAUGAGAUAUGUGAUGAGAUAUGAAUAUGUUGUAUAGGUCACUACAUCACUAGAAAUGACUCCGACUUAUAUGCUAGCCAUGAUUGAUGAGAUAUGUGAUGAGAUAUGAAUAUGUCGUAUAGGUCACUAGAAGUGACUUCGACUUAUAUGUUAGCCAUGAUUGAUGAGAUAUGUGAUGAGAUAUGAAUAUGUCGUAUAGGUCACUAGAGGUGACUCUGACUUAUAUGUUAGCCAUGAUUGAUGAGUAUUGUGAUGAAAUAUGAAUAUGUCGUAUAGGUCACUAGAAGUGACUCCGACUUAUAUGCUAGCCAUGAUUGAUGAGAUAUGUGAUAAGAUAUGAAUAUGUCGUAUAGGUUACUAAAGGUGACUCUGACUUAUAUGCUAGCCAUGAUUGAUGAGUAUUGUGAUGAAAUAUGAAUAUGUCGUAUAGGUCACUAGAAGUGACUCCGACUUCUAUGCUAGCCAUGAUUGAUGAGAUAUGUGAUGAGAUAUGAAUAUGUCGUAUAGGUCACUAGAGGUGACUCCGACUUAUAUGCUAGCCAUGAUUGAUGAGCCACGAUUGAUGAGAUAUGAAUAUGUCGUAUAGGUCACUAGAGGUGACUUCGACUUAUAUGUUAGCCAUGAUUGAUGAUAUAGGUCACUAGAGGUGACUCCGACUUGCGUACUAUUAUGAGAUAUUAAUCGCUUGAUUAUUUGAUAUUAUUGUUGAGAUGUUGUGUGGUGGUACAUUAUGAUUUCUCUGGAAAUUAUACAGGUGUUGUAACGAGGGAUUACAUGUGUUAUAUGUUUUCUAUUAGUAAUUUACUUACAUGGCCACUCACCCUUGUCUUGUCUUCACCCUCCAGGUAUUAUUAGCUGAGUUUUAUUAUCACCAAAGACUCACGGCGAUAAGAAGAAGAAGAAGAAGAAGAAGAAGAAGAAGAAGAAGAAUAAGAAAAAGGAAGAAGAAAAAAAAAUCCAAAUCUGUAACCCAGACUCGGAGGAAGAAGAAGAAAGAAAGAAAAAAAAAAGGGAACCCAGUUUGUCCCUCCUUCCCCCCCCCCUCGAAACCUAACCCCCUGCAACCCAGAAGAAAAAGAAGGAUGAGGAAGAAGAAGAAGAAGAAGAAAAGAAAAAAAAAACCGAACCCCAGAAGAAGAAUAAGAAGAAUAAGAAGAAGGAAAAAAAACGUGGAUGACACGUGGCGCCCAGUCAUUGUCCACAUGGACGCCACGUCACAAUUAACGGCAGAUUGAACAGUUUGACUAAUGGAUGUAUGAGAUUGUCCUAGAAUUUACACUUUAGGUAUGACUUUGGGAUGAAAAAAACUUGAUGUACUAAAUGUUGAAAACCACAAAACAUAAGGGUAGUCAACAAUCUUUUUCCCUAAAUUCAAAUUUAAAUCUCUCUGUCAUUUUAAUCCAAGUGGCUUUGAGAAGUGUGUGGAUUCAACCCCAUGAUGAUUCUUUCCAAAACAUAAAAGUAAAGAGAGUUUUUUUUUUGGAAAACAAGUAAAGAAAGUUUUGUGUAGUUGUUCAUCUGAUUUGAUUUCUCUUGUCCCUUUUUUCCUUUUUAAGUUUUUCCAAGGCCCCAUAUACGUAUUUCAAUACAUAAAACAACCAUUCGACUUUUGACGCACGUAUACCUCCAACCCUUUUGGCAUGGAAAUGACAUAGGAUAUUGUUGAUGCACAAAACCGGAGGUCUUGGAACAACGUAAAUCCGGCCGUAAAUCUGUAAGUAAUGUAAAUAACACAAGAUGUAUCGUGGUUCACCCCAAGGUUUGGGCUACGUCCACAUUGAUUGUAUUGUAUUUCUCUGAGAAGUGAGGGAGAUAGUGUGAGAACUUUGCUCUAGAUAGGAAAGACCUAGGGUUUGUGAAGGUGAUGAGGCCUUUUUAUAGAAUAAGGGCUCCUCCCCUAAUUACAUAUUUGCCCCUUUCUUUAUUACAUAAUUGCAUUUAAGUCCUCUGAGUAUUUAUACGAGGCCCUAAAUAUGGUAUAAACAGUAAUCCCCCAAGUCUUCAGUCAAGAGAGUCUUUUGGCUGGAGACUUGAAAUUCAGUCCAUGUGUGGGCCGAAGCAACUAGAUGUUGUCUUGAACUGAUGCUCAACUAGAAGUAGCACAUGCUGCGAGGCUGCGAGGCUCGUGGCUUAUGUUGCCUUGGUUGGCUCGGCUUGCAGCGUUUGAAGAUGAGAGAGUCCCUUUUAUAGAAUAAGGGUUCGCUCAUCAAUACAUGAAUGAUGGGCUAGAGUUGAUGCUCUCUAAUGAUGGUGAGGGAGUCCCUUUUAUAGAAUAAGGGCUCGUUCCUCAAUACAUAAAUGAUGGGCUAGAGUUGAUGCUCGCGGCGAGGCGGUUGCUCAAUAGGCGGCGAUGCUCUCAAAUGGUGGUGAGGGAGUCCCUUUUAUAGAAUAAGGGCUCGCUCCUCAAUACAUAAGUGAUGGGUUAGGAGUGAUGCUUGCGGCGAGGUGGUUGCUCAGCUGGCGGCGUUGCUCUCUAAUGAUAGUGAGGGAGUCUCUUUUAUAAAAUAAGGGCUCGCUCCUCGGUACAUGAAUAAUAUGUGCUCUCUAAUGAAAGUGAGGGAGUCCCUUUUAUAGAAUAAGGGCUCGCUCCUCAAUACAUAAGUAAUGGGCUAAGUCUCCCAAGUAUUUUUCAUGAGGCGAUAUUUGUAUACCCUGCAUUGAAGCUUUGUAAAUGAAGCUUUGCAAGUGAAGCUUUGAAGCUGGAGCUCUGUAAAUGAAGCUUUUGAAGCUAUAGCUCUGUAAAUGACGCUUUUGAAGCUAGAGCUCUGUAAAUGAAGCUUUUGAAGCUAGAGCUCUUUAAAUGAAGCUUUUGAAGCUAGAGCUUUUGUAAAUGAAGCUUUUGAAGCUGAUUGACAUGAGUGAUGCUCAUGGAUGUUGACAUGAGUGAUGCUCAUGAUUGUUUAUGUAUGAUUGGUUGAGUGAUGCUCAUGAAUGUUUAUGUAUGAUUGACAUGAGUAAUGCUCAUGUAUGAUUGACAUGAUUUAAGUACUAGGCGUACUUUUGAUCACCUAGUUGGUGGCAUGAAGUAGAAUACGGAUUGUACAUUUCAUCACCUGGUUGGUGGCAUGAAUGGCUAGUUGCCAAAUGAUAUUAGAGUACGGUUGUACAUUUCAUCACCUGGUUGGUGGUAAUAGUGGCAGGUUGCCAAAUAAUUUUGGAAGUACUGGCAUACUUUUGAUCACCUGGUUGGUGUUAUUUUGGGCUUAUGGGCAUUCGCCCUCUACACAGCAUUCUAGCCCAUUUAUUUUGGGCUUUUUUUUUUACCCUCUAAUGGGAUUUAUACAUAUUACCCUCUGGUGAGGUUUAUACAGAUGUUUCCGAAAAAUAAGGAAAAUAAGUUACAUCAUUCUGGUGGGGUGUUUAUUCCUUGCUUUUGCAGUGUUUUUCUACUGCACUCUCUCUGUCUCUUCAUCUGGCAGACAAAAGGAAUCAUAAUAAUACGAAAAUCUUUUGCUUUUCUUCUUUUCUCUCCACUGCGUCUCUGUCUUUUGCUUUUGUGUCGUAGCUCACUUGAUUGUUUUUCUUUCUGCUUUCUUCUUUUGCUUUUCUUUCUCUUUCCUUGCGCUGCUUUGCUUUGCUUUUACUUUCUUUUUCCUUUGGGUCGUCUGCACCAAAACAGAGCCUUUGGGACUGAGGGUAAAUUUCACAUUCACCGCAGGAGGAAUUAACACAAGAACCGGGAAGAAUUUCAGGCAAUUCGAGCUCCUUCCUUGAUUUCAAACCGGAGAGAUUGGGCCAGCACGGACCCCCAACAAACUAUCAAAAAAUUCCUGGUGGUUAAUCCACAAACGAAAACCGACCCAGAAGCAAUUAAUUCAAAAGACAACCCAUUUGCGUGGUUAAAUGCAAAUUGAUGGGUUAAGCUUUGUUGGGAUUUUGAUUCAGUGGUCUGGGGAUAUCAAAAAUGAGGGAGAUCUGUGUAGGCAAACAAAUCUCUGAAUUUCGUCGCCCGUUCACUACGACAUCUCCGAUAUCCCUCUCUCUAUUUUUUUUUUUUUAGCUAGUUAGUCUGGAUCGGAAUUCAGUGGAGAAGUGGGGUGCUGCGUUUUGCGGUUGCAGGCCAGGCAGAGAAAACCGGAGGGUGCUGCGUUUUGAGCUGAUGCAGUAGCAGAUUGGACUGGCUCUUCGCAGACCUCGCCAAAUCUCAGCCAUCAGAUUACUGUUCGGACGAUCGCACACUUUUCUUUUCUUCUGCUUGAGCUAGACGAAGCCGGAGGUGUGGUUGUAGCCAAACUCAACAACACCGACGGUGGCCACAGAGCCGACGUAGAGGGAAGCAACGGCGAAGGCCUUGAAAGGCUUGGUAAAGAAAUUGCCGGCACAGCCUUUCCGGGAUGACAUAAGGGCCCAAACCCAGUGGAGCCACACUGCCCCCGGCCUACCACUAGUGGGUGUGUGACCCAUUGCUACCGCUGCUUCAUUCUCCGGAGUCUCUUCCUCCUCCUGCAUCUGAGUUUCUCUGGCCGAUGACAAUAAAGCACCUUGUUUUGCUUCGUUCUAUAGAAUUCGGUGUGUGUUGGGUUUUUGUGGGCUUGUUUUUGGUUUUUGCAGAUUCAUGGCGGAGGUGAAAAAUUGAGAGAUACCUGACAUAACUUUUCGUGUCAAUUCCCACAGACAGCGCCAAAUGUUGAUGCACAAAACCGGAGGUCUUAGAACAACGUAAAUCCGACCGUGAAUCUGCAAGUAAUGUAAAUAACACAAGAUGUAUCGUUGUUCAUCCCAAGGUUUGGGCUACGUCCACACUGAUUGUAUUGUAUUUCUCUGAGAAGUGAGGGAGAAAGUGUGAGAGCUUUGCUCUAGAUAGGAGAGACCUAGGGUUUGUGAGGGUGAGGAGGCCCUUUUAUAGAAUAAGGGCUCCUCCCCUAAUUACAUAUUUGCCCCUUCCUUUAUUACAUAAUUACAUUUACGUCCUCUGAGUAUUUAUACGAGCUCUAAAUACGAGGCCCUAAAUAUGGUAUAAACAGAUGUAGUCCCAUAUAUUGCAUUAUUAGGUUAAGCAGAAUCACCAAACCAUAUUUAUAUGAACUUUUAACAACCAUCGCUUCAAUCUUAAAGAGGGAUUGGAUUAGCCUAAACAGAAUGUGUUUUGUAGUGGCACCUUAAUUAUAUACUAGCCUUCAUGCACGCGCUCACGCGCAUGCAGAAGAUAUUUUUUGAAUCAAAGCGUGUUACGCGCGACUUACACAUUUUAAAUGUAUUUAUAUUCGUGAAUUGACAAAAGGAAAGUCAAAUAUUUGAAGUAAAUGAAUAAUCUUAGAUCAUGCUAGAAAAAAAACCCUCACAAACCAAUCAAAGCAGCUAAAUUCACAUAAUAAAAUUGGUAUUUCAAUUUCCAUCUACAUUCUAUUGAAUUUACAUUAAGAAUAGAGAAAAUAAUAUUUAAUAAACAACUGAUUGAAUCACAUUAUUGGUAGCCCAUCACCCUCCCCCUUAGUGUAGAUAAUAUCGUUUGUUAAAAAAAACAAUCAUUUGACAACUAAUUUAAUCACAUUAUUAUGCGCAUGUGAAAUUUUUUUUUUUAUUAUCGGCAUUACACGCCUCUUAAGAUGUUUAGAACGUGUUUAAAAAUAGAGAAAAUAAUAUUUAAUGAACAACUAAUUUAAUCACAUUAUUACUAGCCUAUUGUGAGGUACUAAUUUUAAAAUAAAAUAAAAAAACUGUACAAAAAGAAUUAAUUAUUAAAACAUAUUGUUAAAAUGACUAAAAUGCCCAUGCAUUAUUUUGGGUUGCUUUUGAAAUUUUUUGAAUUGGGGGCAUUUUUGUCCAAAUUUUUUUGGUGAAGCUUGUGACCCCAAAAUGAGUUGUUGGCUUUAUAUAUAAAGAUAUAUAUAUAUAUAUAUAUAUAUAUAUAUAUAUUUUUUUUUUUUUUUUUUUUUUUUUUUGAAAAAUGCUAAGGAGACUUUCUUGAAGUGGACUCUCUAUAGAUUCUCUGUCACAUAAUUUAACAUUAAUUUCAAUGAAUUAUAAAAUAUUGUGCAAAAAACUUGAGGUUAUGGAGAAUUCAUAAGGAGUCCUAAACAUAUAAUAUGUUCCGUGGUGCACUUUAUAUGUACUUUUGCCUCAUUUAUUUGUUCUCUUUUAAGCUGUUAUGAUGCUACCCUUCCAUCUAUCAUGCCAUCCAUAUAUUUAUGCUUUGGAUUGAAUCAUCUUUUCUUUUCUCUUCUCAAGUCAAUUUUCUAAUAGCUGUAUUUGCAAUGAGUUGACAUCUACAGGCUGAUCGGUUUAAGGACGUAGAUGAGUUAAGGGUGUUGAUAUCAUACUAUUUAUUUCUAAUAAAGCAUUGUUUUCGGCUGACAAUAACACUAGGAAGAUAUAUUUAAGCUGAGUGUGAUACCUAGUUGUAAGUGUACUUGUGGAGAUUAGGAUUCUCUCAUCUCUCCUCUUUUUAUCCUCUUUCGUUCCCUUCUCUUACAUUUUCUAUUUUGUCUUUCUCUUUUUAUAAAAAAAUUAAUAUAAGAUGUUAAUGUAGCUUAAUCGUGACCAUUCAAAUGGGAGGGGAUGGAAAAAAAGAUGGGACAGAAUCCUACUCCUACUCCUACUCCUACUCCUACUCGUGGUGGCAAAACUUUAUUGUAAGUGAAUUAUCCUGUUUUAAACUACGUAGUUUUGUAAUAUACUAUCAUAACCUCCGUGAUCUAGUGAUAGUUACCGGAAGUCUUAAGUCAUGUCAUGUGUAUGUGAGGAAGGUAUAAAUAUUUGUUGCGAGUUCGAUAUUGGGUUUUGGCUAGCUUGUUUACUAGAUUAUUAAUUAGUUAUUAUGGAUUACUUACUUUUAAGGAAACACAUUAUUAGAGUCUUUUUUUUUAAUCCAAUAAUAUAUUUAUAUUAAAGGAAAAUUAAUGAAAAGUUAAAAAAAAACUUUAGUUUUAAUGAAAAAUGACAAAUAAAUGUGUAGUGAAUAGUACCAGGAAAAAGUAAAAAUGUGGUUUUUCGUUAAAAGUGAACAAUACCAUGAGUGUUUCGUUAAAACUUCUUUAUAUUAAUGGGUGGGGAUUUUGGGCUAGACCGUAAAGUGUGCAUGUCAUAAUACUUUGGCAUCGAACUCGUCAUCCACCGACGUUAAACCUAAACCUCCUUAUAUGUAGAGAAAAAUAUUAUUUGACCAUAGACUAUUAAAUGCAUUUUCAAAGUUUUAAAACACAGAGGGCUUAAAAUCUUACAAAAUGAUGUACAAUAUUCGUAUGCAUGACAUUUAACCAUCAUAUAUGCAUGGGUUUGGGAUGCAACGAAAGUAACAACCUUAAUUUUUUUCAUGCAAAUAUAUUUUCCUUUGCGACGUACAUGCAUGCACAAUUAUUACCAGACGAAGCAAUUUUAGAACGACUUUUAGCCUGGAAAUGAUUAUAUUUUAAGGGCACAAGAAUAAGAUUGCUCUUUAUUUAAUAAAUUAAUUUUCUGGUGUUUGUAGUAUACUGUUUAAAGUCUAAAGAACACAGGCAACCACACACUUUAUGGUCAGCAAGUGAUUGUUAAUCAAUCAGAAGAACAAUUAGAUUAUUAAGAUGAGAUAGAUAUAAAAUAUAUAUGCCAAAAAUAUAUCACCUUAUUUGGAAGGGUGGCUCUUCCUUUUGAGUGCAACUUUGCACCAAACAUAGACAUUUAAGUUUCUUCUUCUUCUUCUUCUUCUUUCUUCCAAAAAAAAAAAAACAUAUACAUUUAAGAAGAAUUUUGUUAAGGCUGAUAUAGAAGCUGCUUGCAUCUCCUUUUCCCAUUAUUAUUGGAUGAUAUAUAUAUAUAUAGGACUUAAUUAUUGUUCAGGAGUGAUUUGAUACAUUGAUUAGUAAUUACUUAACCAGCAAGACAGCAAGCAAGGAGUCUUAUUAUAUGUCUGCAGGUACAUUACAUACCAACAGGAUCCUCUCCGGAUCCUUUUGGUAAGGAUCUGGGAGAUUCGUGAAUCGUGUUCGUUCAUCGUACAUCGUGCGGCCAGUUUUACAAUUGUUAUGAAAAACAUUUAAGCUUGAAGAAACUUACUUUUUUUCAUAAUUGUUCUGUCCUUAUUCUCUCCCAUCCCUAUUGUUAGGCCAUCUCCAACCGAAGGCUGGUCAGAGGGCUCGUUUGAGCCCUCUAGCCCUCCAAGAUUCCCCAAGAUAUUAAUAUUUUAAUGAACAGUACAGGGCCAUAUUUGCCUCCGUCUCCAACCGAGGGCCAGAGGGCCAAAGGGCUCGUUUUAGCCCUGUCACAAAAAACCGUCUCCAACCGAGGGCCAAAGGGCCAUAGGGCCAAACAUAAUUUAUUAUUUAAAAACUACAAUUUAAUGUUGUAUAAAUGGCCUAGGAAGUUAUACGAAAAAAAUAGAAUUGAAAAAAAAUAUGAAACAAAUUUUGUGAAAUAAAAGUUAUAGGAAAAAAAAUAUGAAACAAAAUUUGAUUCAUAUGAAAAGGAAAAAAAAGGGGAAAAAAAGAAGUUUACAUUCAUUAAAAAAAAAUUAAAAAAAAUGAAGUUUAAAUUCAUUAAAAAAAAAAGGCCUAAUAAUACAACGGCUACUAGCCGUUAUAUUAAAAAACAUUUCAAAUUAUUAGUGUCGGUUAUAACCGACACUAAUAGUUGAACUAUUAAAAAAAAAAGAAUAUCUUUAAUGCUGUCGGCUAUAACCGAUAGCAAUAGGAAAUCAUUAAAAAAAAAAAUAGCCAGCCCGAGGCUGGCUGGCUGGCCGAAAGCAGUCAGCCCUCUAGCCCUCCAGCCCUCUCCGAUCCCGUGGGGCCCUCCCAGAUUCCAGAGCCCUCUGGCCUAGCCCUCGGUUGGAGACGGUUUUAGGGCUAUUUUCGGCCCUCUGGCCCUCUGAACCCUUCGGUUGGAGAUGGCCUUAUCUUAGUCUUAUUGUUAAUUUCACUUCAUUUUAUUAUCCGUGUUAUUUACUCUCUAGUUGUAUCUCCACUUGGAUUAAAUAUCCUUGAAACAAAUUAAGUAUGAGAGGAAUGUGUGACAGUGAUUUAAUUCGACGAAUGGGAAUAUUUAGAUUUAUAAUGUGAAUCAAUUCAGAUUUAGAAAUGAGAAUGUUUAUACAUUUCAUUGUAGCUAGUAAAAUAUGUUACUUCUACAUUUUAAUUUAUAACUUUUGUUUGCAUGACUCCUGCACUUAAGUUUUUUACUAUCAGUUUUGACACUUAAUAAUGUUGUGUUGGCAGAAGCUACAAAGGAGGAAGAACCAGAAGAUAACGACGAAAUGGAUGGUUUCCAAACUGAUGAUGAUGAUGAAUAUGGGAUGGAUCUGACAAGGAAAUGGGACUUGAUGCCGAGGAUGGUGAUGAAGUUGAUAGCGUUAAACUUCAAAAGUUAGGUGUGCCCUGUUCUCUUAUUAGAAUUUUUUUAGAGAGAAUACUUGCUAUUCUAUGGUGGUCAUCUUUUAUGAUCUUUUGAGAGUAAGGGUGAAGUUAAACAUGCUGUGUAGUGUCGUCACAUUAUCCUGGUUUGUGAUGCCUAAUAUUGACUGAACAAUUCACCUUUCUAACUCAUCCCAAAAUUUGAAUUUCAUUUCCCCUUUUUUUGUUAAGAUACUAAAAUUACAUCACAACAAGUUAGUCAGGCUUUCAGGUGAUUCUCGAUGCUUGAUGUUUGUUCAAGUUCAUUUUCUUUAAAUUAUUUUAGUUCUUGUGAGGUGUGAUGUGAAAGGCCAGCAUGGUGCUUGCCCAGGUACUAUAAGUCAAUAAAGAUGCCUAACAGUCCCAUAGGACCCUUAUGCAUGCAAUUUAAUGAUGACGCGCUUAGUCCCCUGCAUCCCUUGAGAUAUUGUCGCGAGCUUUUUUAUUUUCUGUUCAAAUGAUUGUAUUUUCUUUUACUGCAUGUUUUCACAUUGUUCUUUCUUGCUAUAUGUAUCCACUGCCGGCUAAUUAAUUAUCGUUUGCGGGGUGCUACAGGCAAGUCUUUCCGCCCUAGUGAUGAAUAUGACUCAGACUCGGACGAUGAUUUCAGUGAUGAUGAGGAAUUACAGUCACCAAUUGAUGAUGUGGAUCCUUUUAUCCAUUUUGUUGAUGCAGUCAAAGGUAUGUGGACAAACUUUCCCGUGUUAUCUGUUGAAUAACUUUUAAAUUUAUGGCAUUUUUGACAUGUUUCCUUAUUUCCUAUGCGUUGCUCGUGAAGCCAUGCAAGCAUCAGAUCCGUUGAGAGUUCACAGCCUUAUGCAGACUCUGGACUUCCAGUAUCAGGCUCUUGCAAAUGGCGUUGCACAGCAUGCUGAACAGAGGAGAGCAGAGAUUGAAAAAGAGAAGAUGGAGGAGGCAGCAGCUGCCACAGCUUCAUGAUUUUGCUUCUCUCGUUGUGGCUUCAAUUUUCCCUUGCUCUUCUUUGCCUCUUCCAUUCAUGUAGUAACGGGAAUAUAGAGAAACAAAGUCGUUGACGGUCCAUUCAGAGUAUUUGGUUGCUUUGGUGGUCGCAGACUCGCAGUUGUCGGUUAGUCUAAAGGACUUAUCAUUUUGAAGUACUUGGAGCGGUUCUCUGAUGAGUUCCAACAAUAUGCAAAAUUUUGGGGAACUCUGGAGCUGGUACGUCAAUUCUGGGUUUGGCUUUUAGUCAUUGUGCGGUGAGUCAGGCCAUUCUGUGGUAGGAUACGCAUUUCGGAUCUAUUUUUUCACAGAUUGGUUAAUUGGAAAUGGUGGGUUUAUUUAUUUUCUUGACUUCUGCGUUGUUUAUGUUAUUAAAUCGAAACUUUAUGCAAGAACUGUAACUUUGUCUUCAUUUUUGUUUGUUUGUUUGAUGACCAUAGCACCUACAUUGGUGAAUGCUUCAUGCAAUCGAGGCCGGAAAAAUAUCGAAAAUUGAAAUUGUGUUUUAGACGUUACUUGCAUUGCUGCUUGAAUAUUGUGAGCCAGUUUGUAGAAGAAUCACUUUCAAUUGUGGGUUUUCAUAUUUAAUGCGUUGAAUCACAUCCGACCCAGACAUUGAAAAAUGAGCACUUGAAUUCGUAGCAAGUAGAUCAAUUUAAUAAAAGGACAGGUUAAUCAGAAUAAUAAUAAUAUGAAAGCAAUACUCACCUAAUUGAAGACGUUGAAUGGUCUGUUAAAAGAAUGGAGAUGGGUUUAUGGUGGCAGGUGGACUCCUUUGUCAUAACUUUUUGGAGACUGGAUCAUUGAUUUUGCAAUUCAUGUGGGUGAUGGAGAAGUGCUUGAAGCAAAGCUACGUUGGACAUUGUUAGGAUGGUUAGGAAGCACAUCCUAAUUCCUAAGAUGGAUUAUAAGAGUUUAAAUACAUGAGGUCUUAGGUUCGAUUAUCGUCAAAGGUAAAUUUUAAAUCAUAUUAUUGCUAGUCUAUUAGGAGACUUAGUCCACUCAUUAUCUCUUAGUGUAGAUAAUAUCGUUUGUUCACACAAAAAAAAAUUGUAUUCAAACAAGAUUUUAAAGGAGUUUAUAACGGCCAUUUGGUAACGUUUUAUAAAAGGACUUUUGAAGAACUGUUUUGUAAAACCAGCAACACACACAUAAUAUUGAUUUUUAUGGUUUGAGAAUCAUCUAGUAGUUUAAUUCGAGAAUGAUUUUUGAGAAUGAAAACAUUGUAAACACGUUUGGUAUCAAUAUAUAAAAUGUUAAAAUAAAUAAUGUAAAUUCGUGUUUGGUAGUAAUUGUGGAGACAUAAUAACCACAUCCAAUAGAAGAUGGACAUAUGGACACUAUGCUCAAUAUGUGCUCUUACCAACAAGGACCUUCAGAACUACUAGCUGGCAGGACUAUGGAUAUUGGCUUGCAUCAUCAAGGACUGCCUAGUAUGUUCUGCAAUCUCCCCGCCCAGCUACCUGCUAGGAUUAUUCCCUAUAAAUAGGCAAGUAACAAAGGAAACCGUAAUCACCACUUACUACUAAGAACUCUCUCAAGUUCUCUUUUCUAUCCACUACUUUUGACUUAGGCAUGAGAUGCCCUUCGAUACAUCCUCACCCAGAUAUCCACGUGGACCCAAAAAUCAAGGCAUGCUAGCCAUCACUUGGAGGGUCACAAAGCCAUAAUAUAUAAGUGAUGUGUAAAAGUACAGAUACAUUAAAACCAAAGUCUAACUAAAAGUGCGCAUUGUAGGGUGAACCCUUAUUACAAAGCAUGCAAUGUCAGAGCAUAUUUAAAAAUGUAACACAAUUAAAGAAUAUUCUCAUUUGGAUAGGAUGGAUAUUUGUACGAAGUAACAUAAAAUAACUUUUUACAUAAUCGGAACAGGAUGUCAGCAAGUACCAAUGAUCCUCGUCUACACUAGAAUACAACUACUAAGUCCUACAGGGCGCAAAACAAAAAUAUGAGUGAGCAAAAAUAUAAAGAUUUUCUAAAACCUUUGUUUCUUGGAAUAUAGUAACCCCUCACACCCUAUCCACUAUUAUACUGGAUCACAUGUUAUAUUUGGACUUUUUAGUUAGUGCGGAUCUUGUCGCGUUUAGCCUUUUAGGUGUUUUUACAGUUAUGUUGAUAUUCAUAUCUUGUACAUGUCUCUAAUUUAUUGUUGAAAUUGUUUUAACGAAUAUCACUAUUUUUUAAGAACAUUAAAACAAUUUCACAUGAGAAAAUUCAAUUUAAUAAGAUUGCUAAGGAGACUCUCUCAAAGUGAGACUCUUCAUGGGCUCUCAGCCACCUCAUACUUUUGGCACAAUGUUUUACAAUGUUGGCACGAAAAUUGUGUAAAAAACAUGAGAUAACGGAGAGUCAAAAGUAAGAGUCUCCUUAGCGUUUAUAAUUUGAACAUUUAACAUUUUCCAAUAAAGUAGAGAUUAAAUAAUUAUUGGCAAGUCCUUAUAGAUUUUAAACUCAAGCACUCUUUUCGUAAGCAUUUGACAUCCUCCGCUUUUCUAAAAAGAUUAAUUUAAGGACGAGUAUCAUUUUUUUUCUUUUUUUUUUUUUUUUGAGAUCAAGGAGGAUCUUUAAGAUUUCUGAACUCCACUUAAACAAUUAAUUACACUUAAAUUCAAAUUUAAUCUCUCUGUCAUUUAAUCCAAGUGGCUUUGAGAAGUCUGAGGAUUCGACACCCAGAUGAUUCUUUCCAAAACAUAAAAGUCAAGAGAGUUUUGUCUAGUUGUUCAUUUGAUUUGAUUUCUCUUGUCCCUUUUUACCUUAUUGAGUUUUUAUAAGGCCCCAUAUACGUAUUUCAAUACAUUUAAGAACCAUUCAACUUCUGACGCAUGUAUACCUCCAACCCUUUUGGUAUGGAAAUGACAUAGUAUAUAGUCCCAUAUAUUGCAUUAUUAGGUUAAGCUGAGUCACUAAACCAUAUUUGUAAGAACUUUUAACAACCAUUGCUUCAAUCUUAAAGAGGGGUUGGAUUAGCCUUUUUUUUUUUUUUUUGAGAAAUGCUAAGGACACUCUCAAGUGGGACUCUUCAUGGACUUUCUGUCACUUCAUAGUUUAACAUUAAUUUUCGUGUCAACAAUAUAAAACAUUGUGCAAAAAACAUGAUGUAACGAAAAGUCCAUAGAGAGUCCUAAACAUAAGGGUUUUUAUCACAAAUGGUUCCUGAAAUUGACCAUCAUCAUCAAGAUAGUCCCUGAAAUUGAAAAUCAAUCAAUGUAGUCCCUAAAAAUAAGUGUCGCAAAUCAAUGUGGUCAUUCCAACACAAUUCUGUUAAGUGCUGAUGUGACGCAUAAAUGGGCCCUACAAGUCUUUUUUUUUCUUUCAAAUGGUCCUUGAAAUUGACCCAUGACAUCAGAAUGGUCCUUGAAAUUGAUCCGCGACAUUAGAAUGGUCCCUGAAAUUGAAAAUUGAUUAAUGUAGGUCCACAAGUAAGUGUCUCAAUCAAUGUAGUCAUUCCGUCACAAUUCUGUCAAAAAUUCUGUUAUGUGCUGAUGUGACACAUAAAUGUAUCACACAAGUCUAAUUAAAUUAAAAAAAUUACAAAUAGGGUUAAUAAUUUAAUAGUUAAUAAAAAAAUUGUCAACCUAACAACCUAGUCUUGCAAUCACCUCUGGUCCCAGUUCACAUUUCUCUACCUCUUUCGCUAUCUAUUCUCUAAAAAAAUCUCAAUACACUCAUCUUUACACACUUCGACUUCACUGAAUUGAACCUGGAUUGAGAUCACCUUUGGUGACGGCUUGGCCUAUUGGCAACGACUACUGGGACAUCACUGUUAACAUUUAGGCAAUCAACAUUCUCACAACUUAAUCUUGGAGACCAUGUUUAGCGCUUCCAUAAUGGUCCGGUGAUGCAAAGAACAACGAGGUCUGCCUUCAAAUAAUGAGGUUAUAGCUGAGGUGCAUCCAUUGUUGGUUGAAAACUAUUUCCACACCUCUUCUUAGGCCUUGGUUAAGCCUUGUGCCUUUGAGAAUUUAUGGAAGGAAUCUCUCUUCGGAGUAGGCCCUACUAUAAGGAAAAAAAAAAUCAGUUGAGCAAAAAGAUACUUAGACAACUUUUUUUUAAUUAAUUAUUAAACCCACAUCAGCACAUAAGAAAUCUUUUUACAAAAUUGUGGUGGAAGGAUUAUAUUGAUUUGCGACACCUAUUUUCAAUGACUACAUUGAUUGAUUUUCAAUUUCAAUGACCAUAUUGAUGGUGUGAGUCAAUUUAAGGGACCAUUUGUGAUAAAAACCCGUAAAAGUUGUGGGCCCAUUUAUGUGCCAGAUCAGCACUUAACGGAAUUUUAACAUAAUUGUGACCAAAGGACCACAUUAAUUUAAGACACCUAUUUUCAGGGACUACAUUGUUUGAUUUUUAAUUUCAGGGACCAUCUUGAUGAUGAGGGUCAAUUUCAAAAACCAUUUGUGAUAAAAACCCUAAACAUAAUGUGUUUCAUAGUGCACUUUAUAUAUACUUUUCCCUCAAUCAUGUCAUCCAUAUAUUUAUGCUUUUGGAUUGGAUUAUCUUUUCUUUUCUCUUCCCUUCCAUCUAUCAUGCCAUCCAUAUAUUUAUGCUUUUGGAUUGGAUAAUCUUUUCUUUUCUCUUCUCAAGUCAAUUUUCUAGUAGCUGUAUUUGCAAUGGAUUGACAUCUACAGCUCUAACUAGAAACUGCUUUGAGGAAAUAAAUAUGCGCAAUAUCUACAAGUUGAUCAGUUUAAGGAUAGAUGAGUUUGGAUAAAGAUGUUGAUAUUAUACUAUUUAUUUCUAAAAAAGCAUUGUCUUCGGCUGACAAUAAUGCUAGGAAGAUAUAUUUAAGCUGAGUUUGAUACCUAAUUGUAAGCUUACUUAUAAUGACAUAACUUUAUUGUAAGUGAAUUAUCCUGUUUUAAAAGUAUCGUAGCUUUGUAAAUAUACUCAUAACCUUGUGAUCUAGUGAUCAUUGCUGGAAAUCUAAAGUCAUGUCAUGUGAAUGUGAGGAAGGUAUAUAUUUGUUGCGAGUUCGAUAAUCGGUUUUGGCUAGCUUGUUCACUAGAUUGUUAAUUAGUUGGUAUGGAUUAAACAUAUUUUUUGAGUUUUUAUUUUAAUUUAACGAUAUAUGUAUAUUAAUGGGUGGGGAUUUUUGGUUAGAAAACAAAGUGGGCAUGCAAUAAUAUUUUAGUAUCGAACUCAUCAUCUACUGAUGUUAAACCCAAAUCUCUUACUUAUACGUAGAGAAAAAUACUAUUUGACCAUAGACUACUAAAUGACAUUUUCAAAGUUUUAAAACACAGAGGGCUUAAAAUCUUGUGUACAAAAUGUGGACAAUCUUCGUAUGCUCAUAAAUGCAUGGGUUUGGGAUGCUCUGAAAGUAACAACCUUAAUUAUAUACAUGCAUAUCCUUUUUGACGUACAUGCAUACACAGUUAUUACCAGAUGAAGCAAUUUUAGAAAGACUUUUAGCCUGGAAAUGAUGAGAUUUAUAUCUGAGGGCACAAAAAUAUUGCCCUUUAUGUAAUAAUUAAAUUUCUGGUGUUUGUAGUACUGUUUAAAGUCUAAAGAACACAGGCAACCACACACUUUAUAGUCAGCGAUUGUUAAUCAAUUAGAAGAACAACUAGAUUAUAAAGAUGAUAUAGAUAAUAUAUAUAUAUAUGUGUGCGCGCGCGCGCGCGCCAAAAAUAUAUCACCUCAUAAGGAAGGGUGGCUUUUCCUUUUGAGUGCAACUUUGCACCAAACAUAUACAUUUAAGAAGAAUUAUGUUAAAGCUGAUAUAGAAUAAGCUGCUUGCAUCUCGUUUUCCCAUUAUUAUUGGAUGAAUUGAUAAAAUAUAUCACCUCAUAAGGAAGGGUGGCUUUUCCUUUUGAGUGCAACUUUGCACCUAACAUAUACAUUUAAGAAGAAUUAUGUUAAAGCUGAUAUAGAAUAAGCUGCUUGCAUCUCGUUUUCCCAUUAUUAUUGGAUGAAUUGAUAUAAAUAUAAAUAAAUAAAUAUAUAUAUAUAUAUAUAUUCUUGAGUAUAUUACAUAAAACUAUCUCAACUAUUGGGUCAGUCACAGUUUCAUAUCUCAUCUUUAAAAUAUUUCAAUGUUAUACCUCAUCUUACAAAUUUGUUACAAUUUCAUACAUUCCGUCAAUUUGUCUGUUAAUUCUUCAAUUAAAUAGUAACGUGGCUUGAGACGAGAUCCAUUUUCUAUUAAAAAAUUAAUUAAAUAUUAAAUACUAAAAAAAUAAUAAUAAUAAUUUUUUUUGGCAUGGGGGACCCACCCCAUAUCCCCUCACCCUUCUUCCCCGCUCCCGUCUUCCCCAACCCAAAACAAGAACCACCCCAAACCCAAAUCCCAAAAAUGGCGACAUGGGUUUUGUUCAUUUGGUAUUUUUCUCUUACCCCUUUUGAUUUUUUUAGGUGCAAAGCUCGCCCCCAAGGUGGGUGUGAACUACGGCCAGCUGGACAACAACCUCCCACCAUCGUCACAAUUGGUGAAACUCAUCCAGUCACUCAAGGCCAAGCGAGUCAAGCUCUACGACGCCAACCCCAAAAUCCUCACCGCCCUCCGUAACACCGGCCUCCAGGUCUUCAUCAUGGUCCCCAACGAGCUCAUUAACAACAUCUCCUCCAAUUAAACGCUCGCCCACCAUUGGGUCCACACCAACUUUGUCCUCUCUGAUUUGGUACCUCCUCGUUGGAAACGACAUCCUCAGCCAACCCGAUAAACAGAUAUGGUAUAAUCUCGUACCCGCAAUGCGAACACCAAACAGUGUACUAGCACGGAGUGGAAUUUCGGGUUGUUAUACCAGAACGGGUUGCAUGUGUACCCGAUUGACUUGAGCGGGAAGACGUCUUUGUCGGAGUACUUGCCGUUGCCGACAGCGACAAAUAACAAGCCAUAUAAAAGGUCAAUUUGGUGCAUGGUGGCGAAGGGAGUGAAUAGGAGUGCGGUGGCGUAGACUCUAUCGUACGCCUGCUCGUGAAUAGGGCCGCCGUCGUAACAUUGAGGCACGGGGGGAAGCAGUGCGGUUGAAGAAGGUGGAGGAACGGGAGGAGAAGCUGGAAGUGAAGGAGGCGAAGGCAGAAGCAGACGAGAAGCUGGAGUGGAGGAGGCGAAGGCGGGUCAGAUCUGGGUUUUGGGUGGUUCUGGUUUUGGGUUGGGGGAAGACGGGAGCGGGGAAGAAGGGUGAGGGCGAUAAGGGGUGGCUCCCUCACCCCCAUACAAAAAAUUUUUUUUUAAGUUUUUAAUAUUUAAUUAAUUUUCAAAUAGAGAGUAGGUCCAUCUCAAGUCACAUCACUAUUUAACGGAAGAAUUGAUAGACAAACUGACCGAAGGUAUAAAAUUGUAACAAAUUCGUAAGAUGAGGUUGACAUUGGAAUGUUUUAAAGAUAGGAUAUAAAACUGUGAUUGACCCAAUAGUUGAGGUAAUUUUAUGUAAUUUACCCAUUUAUAUAAAGCCAACAAGUCCAAUGAAUACUGUUUUUUUAUGUCACAAGCUUCACCAAAAAAAAAAAAGAGGACAAAAAUGCCCCUCGAACAAACUUCAAAAGCAACCCAAAAUAAUGCAUCAUAUAUGACAGAGGUAUUUUCGUCAUUUUAAUGAUUAAUUUUUUUGUACAGAUUUUUUUAAUUAGUAACUCACAAUAGGUUAGCCAUAAUGUGAUUUAAUCAGCUGUUCAUUAAAUAUUAUUUUCUCUAUUUUUAAACACGUUCAAAAAAUUUUAAGAGGCAUGCAAUGCCGGUUAUAAAAAAGAUCUUUCGCAUGCGAAUAAUAAUGUAAUUAAAUAAUUGUCAAAUGAUUGUUUUAAAAAAAAAUGAUAUUAUCUACACUAAGGGAGAGGGAUUGACUUAGCCUCACAAUAGACUAGCAAUAAUGUGAUUCAAUAGUUGUUUAGUAAAUAUUAUUUUCUUUAUUCUUAAUGUAAAUUCUAUAGAUAUCGAUUUUAUUAUGUGGAUUCAGCUCAUUUAAUUGGUUUAUAAGAUUAUUCAUUUACUUCAAAUAUUUGACUUUCCUUUUGUCAAUUUACGCAUAUAAAUAUAUUUAAAAUGUGUAAAUCAUACGUAACACACCAUGAUUCAAAAAAUACCUUCUGCACCAUGAAAAAAAAUGUGCAUAACUUGAUUAAGAAAAAUAAUCACCGUUUCAUCUGAAACUAUUGAACUAAAAUGUGCAUAAUUUGAUACAAGACUUCCUGCCGACAGUGUAUGCUGAUACAUGGAGGUGAAUUGUCUGCCCUCCCAUUUUCAUACUCUCCUCAUGGCCUCAUGUGAUGUGUGGUUACGGUUAAGUCACGUCAAUAUUUUAUAUUAAUUUUUUAUAGAAAUAAUAAAAUAAAAAGUAAUAGGAUAUAAAAUGUUGACGUGGCUUAACCAUGACCACACAAACAGUAGAGCAUGGAUAGAGUAUAAAAAUAGGAAGGCAAACAAUCCACCUCCGCUGAUACAUACAUGCUUUAUUUUCUAAUUCCUAACUUAUAUAUCAUAGAUUGCAACCAGCAACUACAAAGUAUCGCAAUUUUUUUUUUCCUAGAAAAAGAUGUCAUCCGCCACCUUUUAUAGCCGGAUUCCCUUCAACUUAAUCCAUUUAAUCUGAAAUUCGGACCGUUCAAAUUUGAUUCAACGGUUACAGUUAUUAUCAUUUUAAAAAGAUCCUUUAUUUGUAAUCGUUAAAUCAAAUUUAAAUAGUUCGAAUCUUGAACUAAAUGGAUUAAGUGGAAAGAUAUCUGAAGAAUUCCUUUUCCCUUUUAUAUAUAUCAAUUCAAAUUGCAAAUUUUGACAUUGACAUUGCGUUACAGUACUAGCUAGUGGAUGUGUUUGAUUUGACGUAGUACAGAAACACUGCCAUAAUUAAUUUAAGGCUAAUCUCAAGUACAAUAAAGGCUACUUUAUGAGAUAAAAAUUAGAGAAUUUUAACGAAAAACAUCCGGUACUGUUCACUUUAACGAAAAAUUACAUUUUUACACUAAAAAGUCAAUCCUGGUACUAUUUAUUUUACCCUUUAUUUUGUCCUUAUCAUUAAAACUCAAAGUUUUCAAGUCAUUUUCAUUAGUUUUCCUUAAAAAUUAUGUAAUUAACAUUUUGGCCUUAGUCUUGUACUUAAACGUACGUCAAUUUUCCGGAAUUUCAUAUUAUAACCUUCUCAAAGAAAUUCAAAGUUCAAAAUUCUAAACCCAAACCGACAUACUUAUGGACAUAACAGUAGGCCUUAUAUCCACUAGCAUUUAUGCAUGCGUUCAAGAGUGCAAAAUGUUGACAAAUGAUUGUUUUUUUUUUAAGAAAUGGUAUUAUCUACACUAAAAAAAUAGGAUGAGCUUAGUUUUACAAUGGCUUAGUAAUAAUAUGAUUCAAUCAGUUAUUUAUUAAGUAUUAUUUUUUCUAUUCUUAAUGUAAAUUCUAUAGAAAUCAAUUUUAUUAUGUCAAUUUUAUUAUGUGAAUUCAGCUGUUUUAAUUGGUUUAUAAAGAAUUUCUUCUAGCAUGAUAUAAAACUAUUUAUUUAGUUCAAAUAUUUGACUUUCGUUUUAUCAAUUAACGUGGAUGUAUAUAUAUAUAUAUAUAUAUAGAGGACUUAAUUAUUGUGCAGCAGUGAUUUAUACACAAUAAUAGUGUAGCAUUGAUUAGUAAUUACUUAACCAGCAAGCAAGGAGUAUUAUAUGUCUGCAGGUACAUUACGUAUACCAAGCGAUAGUCACAUCGAGCUUUGAUUUGAUAAACUGAACUUUAGAGAGACUAUGGAGACUUUUUCAAAAAGUUCUCUCAAUCUAGGGUUCUUCAUGAAUUUACUGUUAUUUUAUAAUUUAACAUUAAUUUUUAUUUUUAUUUUAUAAAUUAUUAUGUAAAAAAAAUAUAAGAUAACAGAUAAUUUAUUGAAAUUCCUCUUAUCAUUUCUCUUGAACUUUUCCUGUUUAAGCUCCGUCAUUUAGGAAAUUUAGCUGACGUAGUAGUCCUGGCCACGAGGCAAUUAUAUAGACUUCCAAGUAGGGAUGAUAAUUGGUCGAAGAAGUGAUAGGUAUGCCAUUUUUAGCUCUGCCUCUGAGUAUAUAGGAAAAUAGGGUUUUGUUAGAGGGUACGUAGAUUGACUUGUCACUUGUCUCUCUUAUCUUAAGAGAGCUUAAUUGAAAGGACAAGGAUUGUCUGCCCUCCUUGUUCUCGUGCCCUUCUGUUUUGUGUGGUCACGGUUAAACCAUAUCAACAUUUUAUAUUACUAUUCAUUAAAAUGUUGAUGUGGUUUAAUCGUGACCACACAAAACAGAAUAGCACCAUUGGAGUGGGUUUGAGGGGUAAUUUGGCUUUUAACCCACCAUUGUAGUUGGUCUAAAGGAUGAGGAUCAUCUUUGGAUUCUUCUUUUUGUGGGAAUCCUAUAAAUCUUUAUAUUUUAAUUGUUUAUUAUACAUUGUACGGUCAAUUUUCGUUAAGUAAUAUUUAUGUUUAAUUUUAUAUAAAAAAAUUGAAUAUUUUUUACCGUACGAUAUACACUGAACGACUAAAAUUUAAAAAUUCUUAAGAUCCUUACCAUUUGAAUCCAAAUAAAAUCCAAUUCCCUCCAUAAAGCUUUUUCAAAUUGUGAUGAGCUUAUAAAAAACAAUAUAUCGUACAAAACAGUCGCAAACAACUAUUUGUGACUGUAACACAACGUAUUAAAAUUUAGUAUAGUACAUGUACAUAUAUUUCAAGGAGCAAUUAUUGCCACUUCAUGCAAAAAUCAUCAUAUAGUAAUCCUUGCUUGUAGAAAAAAAAAAAAAAAAACAAAACAAAAGCAAAAAAGUGUAUGACAACUAUAUUGGAAUGUCGCGAACAAUUUCCCUAUUUGAAAUAUAAAUCUAAAAUCAUUGAAAUUAUAAUACCACGUACCCAUCAUACUUAAAGGAUAGUAUAUUAUUUAUAUAUUCAUUUUUACCUCUCACGCACCCUUAUUAAUAUUUUGUCAUUGAUCUUCUUCAUUUCGUUCGAUCUGACGACAAAAAAUUAAGAAGAAUGUGUGAGAAGUAAAAAUAAGUGUAGAUAGCACUACCAUACUUAAAAAUUACUUGGAGAAGGCCAGCCUAGCAGAUGCUAAAGAUGAUCUCAUGGGUCUUAUAAUUUUAUUUUGCAAACUAUAAAAAGAAAAAGAAAAGAUGAAGAUAUAUGUUCUCUGUAUAAUCAACUAUGAUCAAGAAAUCAGAGAUUCUAUUAUAUUACUGCAUCUCUAUUAGAAGAUGCAAAUUUGAGAUGUAAAAGCUACAUUUACAUCUUAUUUUACAUUUUUAGGAGUAUAAUUUAGUUCUACUCUCAUGAGAGUGAUGCAAAUUUAGGAUCUCAUUUAUUUUUCUCUCUUUAACUGAUGGAGUUCACCGCCAAAAGAUGUUAAAUAUGUAAAUUUUCAUUUUAUUACAUCUUCUGGCCAAUAUUGGUGUUUUACAUAUCACCCGUUGGAGAUCAAAGCAUAUAAAUGUCAAUUUCAAAGCAUUUUGCACCUUCCAUUGGAGAUGCUCUUAUAUAUUAAUUAGAGAUCAAUAUUGUCAUAAGAAGAUUCUGCCAGUGCUAAAACCUUAAAGCAAGCGUUAAGAGGUGGAUUUUCUAUUUUGGUGUAACUAAUUUUUCUUCUGUAGCUUAAUCUGAUAUUAACGACAUAAUCGUACGUAGUGAUUAGGAAACCUUGGUAGCUAGCUAGCAGCCUGUGCCAACCUGCUUAAUUAGAAUACAAAUCUGCUUAAUCUAGUUAUGGUUAUAUAUAAGGCUUUUUAGCCAAAAUUGUCCCUGAGAUUUGCAUAACUAAAAAGAUUUCAAAUCAAUAGAAGUGGUCCCCGAGACUGUCCACCAUUCAUUAUUUUGGUCAUUCCGUUAAAAGCUCCGUUAAGUGUCCUGGAGCUCUUGGCUGGAAGUUUGGGCAAUUUUCAAAGCUUCUUAACUCAAUCGUUUUUUAACCAAAUUCGACCCAUAAUAUAUCCAAAUGAAGAUAGAAAAGUGUAGAAUAAGAUUAUACCUGGAAGCCCAAUGGUUGCCAGAGAUGGUCGGAAAAUAGCCUCAAAGUUGACUGAUCUGAGAGAAAACUAGAAAAUUCGCCGGAAAGUGGAUAAACUUUAAACAUUCAUAACUUCUUCAAUACUCAACGAAAUCAAAUGAUUCAAAAACAAAAAUCAUAAUUCUCGAUGAGAGGAAGAGAAUGGUACCUUUUCAACGGCUAACCAGCUGUGGUUUGGCCGAAAAACCGCUCGGAAGUGGCUAACUAGAGACCAAGACAGCCACUUUUGAGCCGUUUUCAGGCCAAAACACGGUGAUUUAGCUGUUGAAAAGAUACAUUCUCUUCGUCUUGUUGAGAAGUAUGAUUUUUGUUUUUGAAUCACUUGAUUUCGUUGAGUAUUGAAGAAGUUAUGAACGUUUAAAGUUUACCAAAUUUCCGGCAAGUUUUUCUGUUUUCCCUCGAACAAGUCAACUUUUAGGCUAUUUUCCGACCAUCUCUAGCAAUCAUUGGGCUUCCAAAUAGGUAUAAUAUUAUUCUACACUUUCCUAUCUUCAUUUUGAUAUAUUAUGAGUCGAAUUAAGUUAAGAAACGAUUGAGUUACGAAGCUUUGAAAAUUGUCCAAACUUCCGGACAAGAGCUCCAGGACACUUAACGAAGUUUUUAAAGGAAUGACUAAAAUGAUGGAUGGUGGACAAUCUCAGAGACCACUUCUAUUUAUUUGAAAUCUCAGGGACCAUUUUGACUAAAAAACCUAUGUAUAAUAAUGAUUAGAGAAGUUUGUACGUAGGCAGUAAUCAAAACCUACUCCACUCCACUUAGGGGUGGGCAAACGGGUUCUGGACCCGUGGGUCGGGGUGGAUCCUUAAGGUUCAGAGCGGGUACGAGGCAGCUCUAAAAAUUAUAAAUACAAAAAGGGACGGGCCGAGGCGAUUCCUGGUAAAUAAUAGGGUGGGCCGGUUCUAAAAGUUAGAGAAAAUGGGCCCCCGGCCCGAACCGUUCAUUACUAUUGUUUAUUACCCUUCUCAGGCCCAGGCCUUUUCGCUCAAGCCUCACCCUCACCUCACCCUCUUUCUCUCCCGAGUCCAGUUCGAGUCUCAUCCCCAGUCCAGUCCAAAUCUCCUCCCUCAUCUCUCGAUCUCUCUCGAUCUGCUUCAUCUCGAUCUCCUCCCGAUCUCCUCCAUCUCGAUCUCCUCUCUGUCGAUCUCAUCCUUCCCGAUCUCCUCCAUCUCGAUCUCAUCUCUAUCGAUCUCCUCCAUCUCUCUCUCUUUCCCACAGUCUCUCUCUCACCCGCCUUCAACCCAGCUGAACCCCUUUCUUCCUCUCGUCUUCCCCAAUUUUCACAAAGCACCACCGAAUUCUCGCAAUUUCACAAACCACUACCAUUGUCGCUGACUUCUUUAAUCUAAAUCAAGCGUGCUGCUGCAAAUGAUGAUUACGGUGAUGUUUGGCCUCGAUGUUGGUCUCAAAUGACUCAUCAACACCCAAGGUACCUUCUAGGCCUAUUGCAUGUGAACAUCUUAUUCAAAUUUGUGAAAAAAUCCGUUUAAAUUUAUGAGCUUUUGAGGGUUCUUCGUUUAACCUAUGGGUUUUUUUGACGUUUCUAUCUGAGAUUUAGUAUUUAUUUUCUAGAGUUUUUAGAAUACUUCGAUUAAAUUUGUGAGUUUGGUAGUGGUGUUUAUGAAAUGAUUGUUAGGUUUUAUGCGGCAGAUGUGAGGGUGGAGAGCUUCGAGGUGCUCGACAAGUGCAAGAGGAAGGUUGUGGUGAUGGCAAAUCCGACGGUGAUGGUGGAGCGGUUCUGGAUCUGGUCGGGCUGGGCUUGGCCGAAACGAUGAGCGAGUUGAAGAUCGGGAGGAUGAGAUGAGUGAGUGGACUCUGGGAGGCGAUAAAAAAUGGCCAAAAAACAGAAGAAAAAAAAUAAGGAGGACUCGUGGACCCGUCCCGAAAUGGCCCGUUUCAAACGGGCCGAGUUAGGUCUGGUUCCACUGAUCAAAUUUGUAAUAUCCGACCUGGCCCAACCCGUUUCCUAUUUAAGCGGGUCCGGUCCGGUCCCUCUAAAUUUGGGCCCGGCCCAAUCCGUGCCCACCCCUAACUCUACUUGCAUGGAAGAAAAUACUGAAAACCCUAAAUAUUAAAUAAAUAUAUAUAACCAAAAAAAAAUGCAUGCAAGUUUUAGUUCCUUAGUUCGUAAUAAACUGAUCAAGUACUAGUGAUAAAUUAAUUCGCAAAUUAUAUUAAUUAACUUCGUUGUUCACUAAAUUUUUUCCCAUCAUUUGGUUACAUGCAUAAAUUAAGUUGGUAUGUAUAUAUGUGUAGGGACCCAAAUACAAGAUAGCGUUGCUUCUAAGCAAUAUAUUAGGAAUUAGUGAUCAAUAAUGGUGACAAUAAUCACAUCUAGAGUAUACAGCUACCAAAGUCACCUUUAUUUUUGUUAAAGAAUGCAAUUUCAAAUCAAAAACUUGAAUAAACUACUACAACGUGAUAAUAAAUGGUUUCACUGUUUAUUGUACUGAGGUAUUUUUGUGAUAAAACUCAACAUCGAUCGAACUAUACAAUUAGUUAAGUUGGGACAAUAUUUGAUUGUAUUGUAGUGUGCUAGGGUGCACAGGUAAUUAAGUUGAAACAAAAUUUAUUUAAUUGGUAGUCAGCCUCUAACCGUACACUGAAAUGAAAGCUUUUAUAUAUUCCCUAUCAAGUCAUAAGGUGACAUGUAACUAAAGGCCCUAUUGUGUAUAUAUAAGUAACCAAGCUAAGUGCUCACAUACGUACAACUCUCUCUAGAUUCUCUAAUCUGUGUCCGUCGUCUCUCUCAUUUAAGCAUGUUUACAAUACUGAGUUCCUCCAAUAAUAUUGGAGAAGACAGAAGCAAAACACACACUUUCUUUCUAACCAUGUUCUUGAUCAUACAAAUCUUGCUGCCAUCAGCAGAAGCUAAUCAGGCUUCUUCACCAUCCCUUUUCUCCAAAUUCUCCAGAGCAGGACCAUCCAAAGAAGCAGCCAACAAUAUUGUAUCUUUGUGCAAACAUACCCCUCACCAGGCAGCUUGUGAAUCCAUUUUCAUCUCCAAAACAAGUAAUAUUACUACAAUUACUAAACCACCCCCUCAAACCCUUGAAGGCCUCCUUGUCCACUCAGUCGACUUCAGCAUUAUAAAGGCUCGUUUGGCUCGCGCUCUUGCCUAUAAUCUUACCAUUUCCCAUCGUCAAACCUCUCAUCAAACACACUCGCUUGGUGGCAUCAAUGACUGCCUCGAGCUGCUCGAGGACAGUAUCGAUUUACUUGAUAAUGUCAUACUCAAAUACGACAGUACCAAAAGCACCUAUGGCCAUGCUGACGACGAUAUCCAAAGCUGGCUCAGUGCUGCUCUUACCAAUCAAGAAACUUGUCUAGACAGCCUUGAGAGUGAUACGUCAAUGGUAGACAAGGGCGCUAUGGAGACUUCAGCUAAAAAUAUGAACCAAUUCAUAAGUAACUCUCUGUCACUUUUCAUGCUCACUACUAGGUCACCAAAGCAGGCCCAAAACAAAAACCCUAAUAACAUUGUCGGUGGCCGGAGGCUGUUGUCGGAUGAUUUUCCGAGUUGGGUGUCCGGCGCUGAGAGAAAGCUUCUAGAAGCUUCUGUGGGUGACUUAGAAGCACAUGCUGUGGUGGCUUUGGAUGGGAGUGGUACGCACAAGAGUAUCGGUGAAGCACUUGGGUUGGUGGCCUCAUUGGCUGAGAGUGGAGGAGGUGGCAGGUCUGUAAUUCAUGUAAAAGCUGGGACUUAUCAUGAAUAUAUUAAAAUACCAACGAAGCAGAAGAACGUUAUGUUAAUUGGUGAUGGUUUGGGGACGACGAUUGUUGUGGGCGAUAGGAACUCUGAUGAUGGUUGGACCACUUUCCAGUCUGCCACGGUUGGUAAGAACAUAUCAAACCUUCCUCUUUUUUAAGUUUUUUUUGUUUCUAAUUAAUAAGAGAAUUCCCUCUUCUUUGAUUUAUUUAUUUAAUAUGGCUUUUUUAUUGGGAACUUUAACGAAAAGCACCCGGUACUGUUCACUUUAACGAAAAACCAUAUUUUUACACUAAAAAGUCAAUCCUGGUACUAUUCACUUUACCCUUUAUUUUGUCCUUAUCAUUAAAACUCAAAGUUUUCAAGCCCUUUUCAUUAGUUUUCCUUUUUUUAUUCUGUCAAAUUAUAAAAUAUGUAAACUACCUAUUAACAAAAAAAAAAAAUUGUUAUAAAAAAUGAUGAGAAGACAAUUUAGUCCUAUAUCAAAAAAUAAAAUCAUAACAAGUAAUGUGUCGCACAAGUUCAAACCUUCUCCCCCUUUAAUUACUGUAAUCUUUUUGAACCUCCUUAAUAAUAAUAACUUUUGUAUUAAAAAAAAUCAAACUAUUAGAGAAAAAUUAAUAUUUAAUAACUGGUGCUAUUGUCACUCACCAAAAUUAUUUACAAAACUCACUGUUAAAUGAAAAUUAUUAUGAUUUUAUACUCGUUGAAAGAUAAUAUUAAAAAUAAAAUUAUAAAGAAAAAAUUAUAGGCUUUGCUACCACUCAUCUUAUUAGAACUUUUCUUUGACAAAUCUGGUUAACUGGUCUCCCAUCAUUAAGAGGCCAACUUUGGGUUGUCUUGUUGUGUCCGUGAGGGAGCAAUGGUAGCAAUGGUCUCGAUCGUAGCUCCCGCAUUACAGUGGGAGACCAAUCAACAUCGACGUUAGUUAGUCAGCUAAAUAUUACAUCUAAUCAUUCUUUUUAUCAUCAUUUAAAAAUUACAUCUGCAAAAAAUCAUUCAAUCUGAUAUUAUUUAUUCAUCUCUAUGUGUCAAACUAAUAAACGAUUUUGAUAACAAGUAAUAUCGUUGUGAUGAACCGUCCGUCAAUUUGUUUAAUGCAUACGAACAUUUCCGAUUAUGAAAUCCGUACGUCAAAAAUACAUUAAUCAUAAAUGGAGGAUGAGUAGAUUCUCUAUGAAGUAAAAACAAGCAUUAUUAUUCAUAAAAAAAAUAAAAAAGACAAGAAAAUAUCAAAAAGGGCAGUUCACAUGUCUAUACACUAACAUCAAAUAGAAAAGAAAUGAAAUCAUAAAAGGAAUGGUUGGUUCUAUUAAAAUUCUUUAUUUUCUUGCUUUAGUCCACCACCUUCCUUCGAUAUCCAUUUCCCUGAAUUAUAAUGUUAGAUGUGAUGCUCAUAAAGGAUGAUCAAGGUUUUAAUUUCGUGUUUCUUAUUUUGCUCGCAUGUACACCGCACACCCGCUUGGAAAUUCUCAACUUAUGGUUGUAAAGACCAACAUGAGAAAAAAGAGAUUCUUUCAUGCAUGAAUUAAACAUAAUUUCAUAAUUAUUCAUAACACAGAUGAUUAAACUCAUUAAUACAAUUUGAGACGAAAAAAUUACAUUUACAUUUUGGUAAAACAAAUUGUAAAUUUUUAUUUUUAUUUAUAUUUUACAACUAAAAUGAGUAUUUUACAUCCCCUUAAAAAUUGUACAUUGGAUAGUUGUUUAGGGCGAGGGAGAGAGAAAGUGGAGGAAAAAACUAUAGUUUCAUAUGGCUGAGUGAAGGAAAAAAAAACAUCAAAAACUUGUUUGUGCAAAAUUAUUUUAGUGACUUUCUUUUUUAUUUUUUUUAAUUUUCUUUCAGUUAUGUAUAAAAGGAUAUGGUUUUUUUUUUUUGGACAAAAAGAGUCAGAAGGAAAAUUUUCUCUUACUUAAUAAAAAUUGCAUGUCCUCAUGGCACAUAGUAACAUGCAAACAACCGUGUUUUCAGCUGCUAUGGGAGACGGCUUUAUAGCUCGUGACAUAACGUUUGAGAAUAAUGCCGGUCCAUCAAAGCACCAAGCGGUUGCCCUCCGAGUCGGCGCUGACAAGUCAGUGAUUUUCCGAUGCUCCAUCGUCGGUUACCAAGACACCCUUUACACUCACUCCAAGCGCCAGUUCUACAGAGACACCCAAAUCUACGGAACAGUUGAUUUCAUAUUUGGAAACUCAGCAGCAGUUUUCCAGAACUGCAACAUUUACGCAAGAAAACCCGCUUCAACCGGUCUCAAAAAUUUUGUCACAGCACAAGGUAGAACCAGCCCGGAUCAGAACACUGGAAUUUCGAUUCAUAACUGCAAAAUUUCAGCUGCUUCGGAUCUUGCUCCGGUGAAAUCCAAGUACGAGACGCAUCUUGGAAGGCCAUGGAAGCAGUACUCAAGAACAGUUAUCAUGCAGUCUUACUUGGAUGACUCAAUUAGUAAGGCUGGUUGGUCACCUUGGUCAGGUGGGUUUGCUUUAAACACAUUGUAUUAUGGUGAGUAUUCAAAUUAUGGGCCUGGGGCUUCAACUUCGGGUCGGGUCCGGUGGCCGGGAUAUCAUGCAUCACUUACACCGGUUGCUGCACAAGGCUUCACUGUUAGCGGUUUCAUCUCUGGGAACCUUUGGUUGCCUUCCACUGGGGUUUCUUUUGAUUCGGGACUUCAUUAAAUGAUCGUGAUAGCGGUUUUCAUACUCAGUUUAGCUUUUGACACUUCGGUUGUGACGUGAGCGUACAAAGUAUAACAUACUCAAUUUAAAUGUGAGAAGCUAAACUAAGAGUGCCAAAAUUACUACCUUAUGAAGGCGUUGUGCAUUUGUAUAAAGUUGUAUUUGUGUUUGGUUAGAUGUGAUCUGAAACCAAAGGGCUUAUGUGAUCGCAGGCCUAUUAUAGUUAUGUUGUGUGAUCUUAGUGUUUUUGGCCUUCGAUCCCCUUGAAACAAGCAAUAGUUGUGUUACUAUUCUUUAAGUUUAAAAAUCCACUUGAAUAGAUUGGUGGUUAUGUAAGUUGUGUUGCUUUUGGUGAAUGCAAAUUCACUUACAAAUAACAACGAUCUUCGUCGUAUAAAUUUUACAAAUAGAACUAUUACAUAAUAGGAGUUUAAAUUGUGGGUGCAAAGAAAUUUCUCAAUAACCGAAACGACAAUUUCCUCAAUGUUGUGAAAUCUUUAGAUAAAUGUCUUAUAUUUUCAGUAUGAGUAAGUAGAAAUAUAUCUGUGUUGUGAUUAAUGAAUCCUCCACUAAUCACUAUUUGUCAAUCUUAAGCUAGAAUUUAUAAAUAAAUUAGUAGUGACUAGGGACCAAUAAUUCCAUAAACAAAACUACAAACAAUCCAAUAAACAAUUUGCAUAGUUGGUGAUGACGUAGUUUUUAAUACAAAAAAAUAAAUAAAAUCACAUAAGAAAAUUUAAACUUAUAGAUUUGAUUCCGCCGGCGUAUAUUAUCAAGGAAGGGGAUCCUCACCAGACCAUUUGUGGGGAUUCUAGAAAUCUCUACAUUCUAACCGUUUAUUGUACAUCGUGCAGCCAGUUUUCAUAAGAUACUUUUUGUAUUUAAUUUUAAAUAAAAAAAAUCAAAUAAUUUCUGACCGAACGAUAUACAAUAAAUGACUAAAAUGUGAAGAUUCUUAGGAUCCACACAAAAUAGAUCCGGGAUCCAGUUCCAUUAUAAAGGACAAUACUUGAGUCCUGAUUCAUCAGAACGUGGCACAGUAAAAGGGAGGCAUGUGUCUUUUUAACUCUCCAAAUACCUAACCUUGCAUUCUUUGUUUUGAUAUCAACCAGAAAAAAACUGAAAAACUUCCUGUAAAAUACAAAAAACUAAAAAUAAAGGGAAAAAAGGAGGAGGAAGGAAAGUAGGGAUGGAAAGCCAAGACCAAGAGCACAUUGUGAUGCUGCCAUUCAUGGCUCAGGGCCAUCUCAUACCAUUCCUGCAACUGGCAAGAAAUCUCCAACAGAGAAAAAGCUUGAUCACUGUCACCGUCGCAAGCACCGCCCUCAACAUCCAAUACCUCCGCACCACGAUCGCCUCCAACUCAAGCUCUCAAUCUGACUCCAACAUCCGCUUGGCUGAGCUAUCAUUCUGUGGCACAGACCACGGCUUGCCCCCGAACGGCGAGAACACAGAGAACUUGCCUAUCAGCAAAAUAGGAAACCUAGUUGCUGCAUCAACAAGUCUUGAAGCUCCUGCUCGCCGCCUUAUCUCUGAUAUCAUCGAAAAAGAAGGCCGCCCGCCGCUCUGUAUUAUCUCUGACAUGUACUUUGGAUGGGCUGCUAAUCUUGCAAACAGCUUUGGAACUGCGCAUGUGACUUUCACCACAGGUGGUGCCUAUGGCACUGCAGCUUUGGUGUCUAUUUGGCUUAACCUCCCACACCGUUCUACAGCUUCGGAUGAGUUCCCGGUGCUGGGGUUUCCUGAGAGUUACCGCUUCCAUAUCUCUCAGCUGAAUCCAUACUUAAGAGCUGCAGAUGGUACUGACUUUGGGUCAAGAAUUUUUCAACCUCAGCUUUCGCUUUCUACGAAAUCCUUUGGGUGGUUGUGUAGUACUGUUGAGGAGAUUGAGCCAGUUGGAUUGAAGAUCUUGAGGAACUACCUGGGGCGUCCUGUAUGGUCCAUCGGACCUCUUCUUCCUUUAGAAGCACUCAACAACUCAUCUACUUUGGCCUUAAGUGUUUCAAGGCAACGCGCCGGAAAAGAAUUCGGCAUACCUCCUGAAGCAUGCCUGGAAUGGCUUGACUCACAAUGUUCGGAUUCGGUUGUUUACAUCUCAUUUGGUUCUCAAAACAGUAUAAGUUCAAACCAGAUGAUGGAAUUAGCUCUUGGGUUGGAAGAAAGUGGAAGGCCUUUUAUUUGGGUAAUAAGGCCUCCGGUUGGAUAUGAUAUGAAGGGUGAGUUCCGAGCAGAGUGGUUGCCCGAGGGGUUCGAAGAUCGAAUGAGUAGAGGAAAACAAGGGUUGGUGGUGCACAAUUGGGCACCCCAGUUGGAGAUAUUGUCACACAAGUCGACGGGUGUGUUUGUUAGCCACUGCGGAUGGAAUUCAGUGAUGGAGAGCUUAAGCCAAGGGGUGCCAAUGAUAGGGUGGCCAUUGGCGUCCGAGCAGGCAUUUAACUCGAAGAUGUUGGCGGAGGAGAUGGGCGUGAGCGUCGAACUUACAAGGGGAUCACAGAGUGUUAUUGUUGGGAAGGAGGUGAAGAGACUGAUAGAUUUGGUGAUGGAGAAAAGUGGCAAAGGAGGGGAAAUGAGGAAAAAAGCGGGUGAUAUUGGGGAGCAGAUAAGAGCAGCAGUAAGGGAUGAGGCAGAAGACAAGGGAUCGUUUGUUUUGGAAAUGGAUGAUUUUCUUGGCACCAUUUUAGCAACUAGAAGAAAAAAUUAGCACAAAUAAGUUAUGUACUUCCUAAACCCUAAAGUGAAGGUUUCUUAGAGCAUGUUUACUUGAUAAAAAUAAAUGGGUAUACAAAUUAUUUCACUUAUUCAUAUGUGGAAUCUGUGGACAAAAGUUACUCUAGGAAUAACGAGUUGAUCUUCCCCAAGAGCUCGCAGCGACAGCAAGGUUUGGCACCUCAAUGUCGGCUCUUCACCACUUGAGCAUGUAUUAUGUUUCAAGGGUUGGGCUAGAGCCACCACUUGGGCAUAUAUUAUGUUUCUAGGGUUGGGCUCUUUGCCCAUUAAAGCGGUACGUGAGCUGAUUUCAAACAUCGUGAGACAAUUCAGUCCAUAUCCAAUGUGAUAUACGAGAACAAAACAAGAAUUUGCCAUAUACUGAUGAGACUUUGAACUCAAAUUUAGUUGUCCAUAACUGAUAUACGAGAACAAAACGGUUCAUAUAUUGCAUAUAACAACUUACACAGACGAUGCAUUUCGACGAUGGAAAAGAAUAGAUUUCAAAACCCAGAAAGUAAAUAACUUAAGUAUGGCAACAAAUCAAUCAACAGUUUACACAUUCUCACAGAUAUGCAUCUUCACGAGCGAGGUUCCAAGUAAUCCAUUAACAUCUACCUUCGACGCCUUUUUAUUAAUACUUCACCUUGUAGAGAAGACGGGUUUCGAUUUUCCUUCUGAAUUUCUAAGCUGAUGGAAGAAGAAGAUGGCUUUGAUAGGGCAGGCAACCUAACACGAUAUAGAUCUCAAGAAGAUGCAGUAACAGCAGGCUGGAUUGGGUUAAAUGCAACCUGCUCGGCACAAGUUAACACUUCAUGAGGCCCUGCCUCGUCUCGGUUGACACCCAUAAGGUCCAGGUAGUACUGGUAAUGUGAAACGAUGUUGUUCAUGGCAUCAAUGUCACCCUUGCCACAAACUGAUUCCCCAUAAAGAAUAUUCAUUGUAGCCAAAUCCAGGAAACCGCUUACUCAAGGUAUCGUUCUUGGUAGGCUUCCAGUCUCCAACAAAUGCUUGGUGGGCCGAGGGUUGUGACUUCUUGAUAGGGGUCAUCCACCUCCAUACUGCAGCUUGGAAAGCAAGAGUAGCGUUCUGCUCAAUGUAUUCUGGAUGGUUCAACAGAUCCACCUUCAAAGCGUCUCCAGCUGCACCGUAAUUGUAGUUCCUAGAUGGUAGAACCAAUGUUAAAUUAGUAACAUUGUCUAUUCAAAGAACUCAAACUACAACCUCACGUAUCUUCUAGAACUUCAGAUGUCACGAGAUUUGAGGAAAAAACAUAAAUGUGACAAUAGCUAGACUAUGGAACAAACUGACAUACAACAACAAAGGCUUAUCCCACUAAGCGGCGUCUGCUGUAUGAAGACAAAUAUGUCUGACGAUUCUGACUGCAAAACAACUCCAUCUAGUUUCCGCCACAAGUAAAUUACUAGCUUGCAGUAUGUAUCAUCUAAUUUGUGAACUUGCUAAGAUGGCAUUAUACGAGUAGACCAAUGAAUUAAUCUCAUCUAACGAUAGCUCGCUCUACUUUACAACACAACUGACAUCAUCUUUGGUUAAUUUAUUUGGUAAACGAAAGCUCAGACAACUGAAUAUUAUGAAAGGAAAUCGACAUAAACCAAUGAUAAAAUAGAUGGAAUACA
rnacentral:lncRNA from 1 species